UACGGGGGGGGCAAGCGUUGUUCGGAAUUACUGGGCGUAAAGGGCUCGUAGGUGGCCAACUAAGUCGGACGUGAAAUCCCUCGGCUUAACCGGGGAACUGCGUCCGAUACUGGUUGGCUUGAGUUUGGGAGAGGGAUGCGGAAUUCCAGGUGUAGCGGUGAAAUUCGUAGAUAUUGGGAAGAACACCGAUGGCGAAGGCAGCCAUCUGGACCGACACUGACGCUGAGGCGCGAAAGCGUGGGGAGCAAACAGG
rnacentral:rRNA from 1 species